UGUUUUUCUGUUUUAAAACCAAAACAGAAAAACAAAGGAGCUGCGUUUCAUUCUAUGUAUGACCGGUGUUGUAACCCUGCAGCCUGUUCUCGCUGGAUCCCCUCACACAUGGAGGCUUGGUCAAGGCCUAUUAGCGUGGGUUUGUAACGCACUGGGGAUCCCUAGAGCGUCACAGAUCAACGCAGUGGGGGGGAGCCCCGCAGCGUCAGUUUGUGAUGGUAAAGGUCUAAUAUGUAACAGACUGAGUAAGGACGUGGAUGGACUGAAUGGAGGGCCGGAACCCGGACUUUGAACCAGCAGAACGGCGUUCCUGUCCCAUGUAAAAACAAAAAGCCCGCCAGGCAUCCAGCUCCACAGUCAGCUGCUCAAUCUUCAGAGGAACACACACAUCCCUCCGCUUCAACAACUGACUGAGGAACAGAAACAAAAACAUGGCUGGUCGGUGAGGAUGUUUAGCAGCAGUGGAGAGAUGAGAGGUGUGAGAGACCACAGCCUGACUGUACUGUCUCUGCUACAGCUGGCCAUGGUGAACGGACGACUCUGAUGACAUGUUAAACCUGCAGACACACGCGCAGUUUGGUCCCACGUACCAGCUGGCUGGUAUGCCGGAGGUUGAAAGGCAAGUCUAACCUGCAGCUGCGCAGCAGAAGGGAACCCAGAUUAUAGACACAUCCCACACAGAAACACACAGCUUUUACCUCCGGUGAUGAACAUGCCCGGUGCAGAGGGGACCCAGGCCAGACACUGAACUGAUGCAGCAGCUGAGGGGAAGCAGAAAGACGUAAUACAAGCCAAGGCCGC